rnacentral:rRNA from 1 species
GAUAUCCCGGUUUAGUUGGAAGUAGGCGUGCAUUAGGCAAAUCCGGUGCACAUAUACCGAGGCCAACGAUCGAGCCAGCUUGCUGGUGAAGUGACUGAACGAGGUUCCAGGAAAAGCCACUAAGCUUCAGCUAUACACGACCGUACCGCAAACCGACACUGGUGCGCGAGAUGAGUAUUCUAAGGCGCUUGAGAGAACUCAGGAGAAGGAACUCGGCAAAUUGUCACCGUAACUUCGGAAGAAGGUGUGCCCUAUUAGUGUGAAGUGAACAACGGAGCAUGAAUGGGUUGCAAAAAAUCGGUGGCUGCGACUGUUUAUUAAGAACACAGCACUCUGCAAACACGAAAGUGGACGUAUAGGGUGUGACGCCUGCCCGGUGCUGGAAGAUUAAAUGAUGGGGUGCAAGCUCUUGAUUGAAGUCCCAGUAAACGGCGGCCGUAACCAUAACGGUCCUAAGGUAGCGAAAUUCCUUGUCGGGUAAGUUCCGACCUGCACGAAUGGCGUAACGAUGGCCACACUGUCUCCUCCUGAGACUCAGCGAAGUUGAAAUGUUUGUGAUGAUGCAAUCUCCCCGCGGAAAGACGGAAAGACCCCAUGAACCUUUACUGUAGCUUUGUAUUGGACUUUGAACAGAUCUGUGUAGGAUAGGUGGGAGGCUUUGAAGCAGGGUCGCUAGAUCUUGUGGAGCCAACGUUGAAAUACCACCCUGGUGUGUUUGAGGUUCUAACCUAGGUCCAUUAUCUGGAUCGGGGACAGUGCAUGGUAGGCAGUUUGACUGGGGCGGUCUCCUCCCAAAGCGUAACGGAGGAGUUCGAAGGUACGCUAGUUACGGUCGGACAUCGUGACGAUAGUGCAAUGGCAUAAGCGUGCUUAACUGCGAGACUGACAAGUCGAGCAGAUGCGAAAGCAGGACAUAGUGAUCCGGUGGUUCUGUAUGGAAGGGCCAUCGCUCAACGGAUAAAAGGUACUCUGGGGAUAACAGGCUGAUACCGCCCAAGAGUUCAUAUCGACGGCGGUGUUUGGCACCUCGAUGUCGGCUCAUCUCAUCCUGGGGCUGUAGCCGGUCCCAAGGGUAUGGCUGUUCGCCAUUUAAAGAGGUACGUGAGCUGGGUUUAAAACGUCGUGAGACAGUUUGGUCCCUAUCUUCCGUGGGCGCUGCAGAUUUGAGGAAGCCUGCUCCUAGUACGAGAGGACCGGAGUGGACACACCUCUGGUGUAUCGGUUGUCACGCCAGUGGCAUUGCCGAGUAGCUAAGUGUGGAAGAGAUAACCGCUGAAAGCAUCUAAGCGGGAAACUCGUUUCAAGAUGAGAUCUGCCGGGGCCUUGAGCCCCCUAAAGAGUCGUUCAAGACCAGGACGUUGAUAGGUCAGGUGUGGAAGCGCAGUAAUGCGUUAAGCUAACUGAUACUAAUUGCUCGUGCGGCUUGACCCC